UACGUAGGGGGCUAGCGUUGUCCGGAAUCAUUGGGCGUAAAGAGCGUGUAGGCGGUCCGGUAAGUCCGCUGUGAAAGUCGGGGGCUCAACCCUCGAAUGCCGGUGGAUACUGUCGGGCUAGAGUGCGGAAGAGGCGAGUGGAAUUCCUGGUGUAGCGGUGAAAUGCGCAGAUAUCGGGAGGAACACCAAUGGCGAAGGCGACUACCUGGCCUGUUCUUGACGCUGAGGCGCGAAAGCUAGGGGAGCAAACGGG
rnacentral:rRNA from 1 species